GAUGAACGCUGGCGGCGUGCCUAAUACAUGCAAGCCGAGCGAACAGAUGAGGUGCUUGCUCCUCUCACGUUAGCGGCGAACGGGUGAGUAACACGUGGACAACCUCCCUAUAAGACUGGGUUAACUUCGCGACACCGGAGCCAAUACCGGCUAAUAUAUUGAACCGCAAUGGUCUAUAAUGAAACACGGAUUUCCUGUCACUUAUAGAUGGCUCCGCGCCGCUGUAGCUAGUUGGUAAGGUAACGGCUUACCAAGGCGACGAUGCGUAGCCGACCUGAGAGGGUGAUCGGCCACACUGGAACUGAGACACGGUCCAGACUCCUACGGGAGGCAGCAGUAGGGAAUCUUCCGCAAUGGGCGAAAGCCUGACGGAGCAACGCCGCGUGAGUGAUGAAGGUCUUCGGAUCGUAAAACUCUGUUAUUAGGGAAGAACAAAUGUGUAAGUAACUAUGCACGUCUUGACGGUACCUAAUCAGAAAGCCACGGCUAACUACGUG
rnacentral:rRNA from 1 species